ACGGAGGGUGCAAGCGUUGUCCGGAUUUAUUGGGUUUAAAGGGUGCGUAGGCGGCUAUUUAAGUCAGUGGUGAAAGACUCCGGCUCAACCGGGGCAGUGCCAUUGAUACUGGAUAGCUUGAGUAUUGGAGGGGUACAUGGAAUUGAUGGUGUAGCGGUGAAAUGCAUAGAUACCAUCAGGAACACCGAUAGCGAAGGCAUUGUACUGGCCAGUAACUGACGCUGAUGCACGAAAGCAUGGGGAGCGAACAGG
rnacentral:rRNA from 1 species